UACGUAGGGGGCUAGCGUUAUCCGGAAUUACUGGGCGUAAAGGGUGCGUAGGUGGUUUCUUAAGUCAGAGGUGAAAGGCUACGGCUCAACCGUAGUAAGCCUUUGAAACUGGGGAACUUGAGUGCAGAAGAGGAGGGUGGAAUUCCUAGUGUAGCGGUGAAAUGCGUAGAUAUUAGGAGGAACACCAGUUGCGAAGGCGGCUCUCUGGACUGUAACUGACACUGAGGCACGAAAGCGUGGGGAGCAAACAGG
rnacentral:rRNA from 1 species